rnacentral:lncRNA from 1 species
GGGCAGUGCCCCCGAACCAAUUUUUUUAAAUAAUUUAUACUUUCGGGUUAGAUAAAUACAUCCAAAUAUCCAAUUUAAUAAUACUAACAAAAGGGGAAAAUCACAAUUGAUUUAUGAAAACAAAACUGAGGUUGGAGAAAUUGAAGAGAGAGUAAUUUCUGUUAUCUGCAAGGGCACAAGGCUGCAAGAGAGUCACAGUAGAAUAGAGUCG